rnacentral:rRNA from 1 species
ACGCUGGCGGCAGGCUUAACACAUGCAAGUCGAACGGUAACAGGGAUUAGCUUGCUAAUUUGCUGACGAGUGGCGGACGGGUGAGUAAUGCUUGGGAAUCUGGCUUAUGGAGGGGGAUAACUACGGGAAACUGUAGCUAAUACCGCGUAAAAUCUUAGGAUUAAAGGGUGGGACUUUCGAGCCACCUGCCAUAAGAUGAGCCCAAGUGGGAUUAGGUAGUUGGUUAGGUAAAGGCUGACCAAGCCGACGAUCUCUAGCUGGUCUGAGAGGAUGACCAGCCACACUGGAACUGAGACACGGUCCAGACUCCUACGGGAGGCAGCAGUGGGGAAUAUUGCACAAUGGGGGGAACCCUGAUGCAGCCAUGCCGCGUGAAUGAAGAAGGCCUUCGGGUUGUAAAGUUCUUUCGGUGACGAGGAAGGUUGAUAGGUCAAUAGCCUAUCAAAUUGACGUUAAUCACAGAAGAAGCACCGGCUAACUCCGUGCCAGCAGCCGCGGUAAUACGGGGGGUGCGAGCGUUAAUCGGAAUAACUGGGCGUAAAGGGCACGCAGGCGGUGACUUAAGUGAGAUGUGAAAGCCCCGAGCUUAACUUGGGAAUUGCAUUUCAUACUGGGUCGCUAGAGUACUUUAGGGAGGGGUAGAAUUCCACGUGUAGCGGUGAAAUGCGUAGAGAUGUGGAGGAAUACCGAAGGCGAAGGCAGCCCCUUGGGAAUGUACUGACGCUCAUGUGCGAAAGCGUGGGGAGCAAACAGGAUUAGAUACCCUGGUAGUCCACGCUGUAAACGAUGUCGACUUGGGGAUUGGGCUUUGAGCUUGGUGCCCGUAGCUAACGUGAUAAAUCGACCGCCUGGGGAGUACGGCCGCAAGGUUAAAACUCAAAUGAAUUGACGGGGGCCCGCACAAGCGGU